rnacentral:pre_miRNA from 1 species
AAAAAGGCAAACCCUGGGUUUCCGUGCCAACGUUUGACUGUCCGUUUUAUAUGAAAUUUUUUUAUAAUUAGUAUUUUCAUUGUUGUUAAAUGAUAAAACAUGAUUAAUACAUGAUUAAUACUUUAUCAUGAUUAAUACUUUAUACGUAACUUAUCUUUUUAAUUUUUUUCAUAUUUUUUUCAAAUAAGACGGACGGUCAAACGUUGGGUACGGAAAUCAAGGUUUGUCUUUUUU